AAUUGGGGGCUGCUUAUACCAUUUUCUCAGAAAACAAGAGAAAAAAAGUAACCCUUCGAAUUGGGGCUUAGGGUUUUCAACGGGGGCUUGGGGCUGGUGAAGGCGACGACACGACGGAUUUGAUGGUAGUGAAGGCGGCAUCGGUGGCUGGGGUUUGUGGGCGUCGACAGCGGCGGCGGCGGCAUGCUGGGUUCUCGGCACCCUUGGGCUUCUCUUCUCCAGCGACAACACUUGGGCUUCUCGGCUCCGGCAGUGGCACUAGGGUCUUGGCUCAGGUGGCAGUACUAUCUCUCUAGCAUAUACAGGUGGAGCUAUUGUUGGAUCCAUUGUUGGAGGGUCUGAUGUUGAAAACGUGAACCAUGCGCACAAAAGGUAGCCACGAGAAGCGUUUCAGGUGGAUCCAUCAAUAUCAGCAAGAAUUGGAUCUGGAGUAUGUUGAGAAAGUUAUGCAUCUUCUUCAAAAGAUACUAUAGACGUAAUUUGAUAGUAUCAGGGUGUGGUGCUGAUGUCGAUGUGCUGUGGAAGUGUGUGGAGAAUAUUUCUGAAGAGUUAUGCACAUGUGGCUCUAUUGGACAACAUGAUCAUUUAUGGUUUUGAAAGCUUUAAGACUAAAUGAUAAGUUGCAACAACAUUUCCAUUGGAGAAAAUGGAAUCAAAUGGGUCGCAGAGUUAGGCAUUUUGUUGUAGCAACGUCAAUAUGAUGCUACAAUAUCAAUUUUGAGCAAGAUCUCCGACUUACUUUUACUGCAACAAAGUUCGUGUAAUGCUACAGCAAAGUUUCAGUGGACAAGUACAACUCUCUGACUUACUUUUGCUGCAGCAAAGUUCGUGUAAAGCUACAACAAAACUUUCUGAGAAAUUUAAAUUUCUUUUUAAAAAAUAUUUGGCAUUUUAUUAGUAUUUUCUUUUCAAA